UACGUAGGGGGCAAGCGUUGUCCGGAAUCAUUGGGCGUAAAGAGCGUGUAGGGCGGCUCGAUAAGUCUGCUGUGAAAGUCCAGGGCUCAACCCUGGAAGGCCGGUGGAAACUGUCGGGCUAGAGUCCGGAAGAGGCGAGUGGAAUUCCCGGUGUAGCGGUGAAAUGCGCAGAUAUCGAGAGGAACACCUGCGGCGAAGGCGGGUAGCUGGGCCGACACUGACGCUGAGGCGCGAAAGCCAGGGGAGCGAACGGG
rnacentral:rRNA from 1 species